GACGAACGCUGGCGGCGUGCUUAACACAUGCAAGUCGAACGAAGUGGCGCACGGGUGAGUAACGCGUAAUCAACCUGCCCUUCAGAGGGGGACAACAGUUGGAAACGACUGCUAAUACCGCAUACUGUAGGAGGGGAUUGCGUCUGAUUAGCUAGUUGGAGGGGUAACGGCCCACCAAGGCGAGGAUCAGUAGCCGGUCUGAGAGGAUGAACGGGCAAAUGGGGACGGAGACACGGCCCAGACUCGCACGGGGGGGAGCAGUGGGGAAUCGUCCGCAAUGGACGAAAGUCUGACGGGGCAACGCCGCGUGAGUGAUGACGGCCUUCGGGUUGUAAAGCUCUUUUAAUCGGGACGCGGUACCGGAAGAGAAAGCCACGGCUAACUACGUGCCAGCAGCCGCGGUAAUAC
rnacentral:rRNA from 1 species